rnacentral:misc_RNA from 1 species
GAUGAAGAACGUAGCGAAAUGCGAUACGUAAUGUGAAUUGCAGAAUUCAGUGAAUCAUCGAAUCUUUGAACGCAUAUUGCGCUCUCUGGUAUUCCGGAGAGCAUGCUUGUUUGAGUAUCAGUAAACACCUCAACUCCCUUUUCUUUUUUGAAAUUGGAGCUGGACUUGAGUGAUCCCAACGCUUUCUUCCAAGAAAGUGGCGGGUUGCUUGAAAUGCAGGUGCAGCUGAACUUUUCUCUGAGCUAUAAGCAUAUCUAUUUAGUCUGCCUAAAAAACAGAUUAUUACCUUUGCUGCAGCUAACAUAAAGGAGACUAGUUCUUGUGCUGACUGAUGCAGGAUUCACAGAGACAGCUUCGGCUGACUUUGUAAACUCGAUCUCAAAUCAAGUAAGACUACCCGCUGAACUCAAGCAUAUCAAUAAGCGGAGGA